GGCUCAACCGCUGUCAAAGACUGCCGACCGCCAGCAUUUACACGGCCCCCCAUUGAUGCGAGCGGCUGCUCACGACUACACCCGGCGGCCGCCGCUUUUCUUCCUGAUUUUCCGGCAACAAAUGAUGAUUCAGAUGGCUUUCGAUAAGCCUACACAGAAUACUGCCCAAUCCCAUUUGUCUGUGGGAUGUGUUGGUCAAACGGUGAGCUUCACGUCUGUCUUGGAGAGGGUUCCAUCCCAGAGAAUUCAGAAGUUUGGUGACACUCGUUUCUCUCUCACAGGGUCAGGCAGCAUCUCUGGAGAACAUGGAUAGGUAAUGUUUCGGGUCAGGGUUACUUAAGGUCACUCGUGUCAGGAGCUUUCUUCAAACUGACUUACCAAUUGCCUGACCCACUGAGUUCACCUUCAGCACUUUGUGUCGUUUUUUGUAAACCCGCAUCUGUAGGUCCUUGAGUCUAUAUUGUAAUAAAGAGAGUUUGUUUUGAAAGUAAAC